UCUCUGGCCUCAAACACCUCAGAGUUCUUCACCUGAUGGAGAACCAUAUUAGCAACAUUGAGAGAGGAGCAUUUGAUGAUCUGAAGGAACUGGAGAGACUUCGUCUGAACAGGAACCAUCUCACUCAGCUUCCUGAACUCCUGUUCCAGAAGAAUGAGGCUCUGUCUCGACUGUGAGUACCCUAUUUACCCACCCUACACACUCUACACUACCACACUCUACACUACCACACUAUACACUACCACC